GACGAACGCUGGCGGCGUGCCUAAUACAUGCAAGUCGAACGAGAGCAACCGGUGCUUGCACUGGUCAAUCUAGUGGCGAACGGGUGAGUAACACGUGGGUAACCUGCCCAUCAGAGGGGGAUAACAUCCGGAAACGGAUGCUAAAACCGCAUAGGUCUUCGAACCGCAUGGUUUGAAGAGGAAAGGAGGCGCAAGCUUCUGCUGAUGGAUGUACCCGCGGUGCAUUAGCUAGUUGGUGAGGUAACGGCUCACCAAGGCCGUGAUGCAUAGCCGACCUGAGAGGGUGAUCGGCCACAUUGGGACUGAGACACGGCCCAAACUCCUACGGGAGGCAGCAGUAGGGAAUCUUCCGCAAUGGACGCAAGUCUGACGGAGCAACGCCGCGUGAGUGAAGAAGGUUUUCGGAUCGUAAAACUCUGUUGUUAGAGAAGAACAAGUGCUAGAGUAACUGUUAGCGCCUUGACGGUAUCUAACCAGAAAGCCACGGCUAACUACGUG
rnacentral:rRNA from 1 species